rnacentral:rRNA from 1 species
UACGGGGGGGGCAAGCGUUGUUCGGAAUUACUGGGCGUAAAGGGUGCGUAGGCGGCUUUCUAAGUUGGAUGUGAAAACUCUGGGCUCAACCCAGAGCCUGCAUCCAAAACUGGAGAGCUUGGGUUCUGGAGGGGAAAGCGGAAUUCCUGGUGUAGCGGUGAAAUGCGUAGAUAUCAGGAGGAACACCGGUGGCGAAGGCGGCGACCUGGGUCGAGACUGACGCUGAGGCGCGAAAGCGUGGGGAGCAAACAGG